UACGAGGGGGGCGAGCGUUGUUCGGAAUUAUUGGGCGUAAAGGGUGCGUAGGCGGUUCCGCAAGUCCUGUGUGAAAUCUUCGGGCUCAACUCGAAGUCUGCACGGGAAACUGCGGGGCUUGAGUGUGGGAGAGGUGAGUGGAAUUCCCGGUGUAGCGGUGAAAUGCGUAGAUAUCGGGGGGAACACCUGUGGCGAAAGCGGCUCACUGGACCACAACUGACGCUGAGGCGCGAAAGCUAGGGGAGCAAACAGG
rnacentral:rRNA from 1 species